GAUGAACCCAUGGAGGAGUUACCACAGCAGCCUCCCGCUCCUCUGCUCAGCCCCAGGUUUCAGCAACAACAUCCACAGGGAUGAGAGUUCCUGCUGCCGGCCAGAGAAGCCGGCAGCACCAAGCAGUGCCAGGGCAGUGCUGGGAGCCAGCGCUGCAAUCCUGCCACCCGCUCCCAGAGGAUGAGCAUUCAGAGCCAGCUGGCCUCGCCACGGAGGAGCUGCCAGAUCCAACUCGCCACCUUCCCACCAUGGAACAGCCAUCCAGGGGCUGUGGCCACACGGGAAGGUCACCCUCCAGUACCCAGCACCACAAAUCCAGCCUCAAGGGGAAGCGUGAGGGAGCAGAGCCCACAUGGCCGUGCCCAGUGCCCCGUGCCCAGCCCUGCUCACACGCUGUGCAUGUGCAGCACCACCACCUGAAAAUGAAACCAGCCCCACUCGCCGUCAGCUCCACGCCAGGAAAAUGCACGCCAGUGACGUGAAUAGGAAACAUGAUUGAUGCACCGGCUUUCCCAGAAAUAACUGUUCCCAACUGGAGGAAAAGUGUCCAGAGGCAUUUGCAGCUCCCUUUAUAAGCACAGGACUGUUCAAAACUCAUCCCAAGGACUAUUUUCAGGAGAGGGUGAAGCAAGGGGCUGGGAGACGCCCUGGCCAGCCCUGCAGCUCUCCGCUUCCUGAGUGACAGAAAUACAAAGUUCCCACAAUCCCAAGAGCGGGAACAUUGUUCCUUCCCAGGAUGUCCUCCAUGAAAAGAGCUAUUCUGAGCCGGCUGCAGCCUUUCUUGGCAUGGCCCCGCAGCCGCUCUGAGGCAGCUAUAAAAGGCCAGGUUACAAUGAACGGCACUUUUCAAUGGAACAGCAUCUGGCACAGUGGGUUUGGGGAGAUGCAGGUCGCUGGGUGGGCUCAGAGGGAUGCAGAUUCCCUGUGGGAAUCCAGAGAGCCACAGGUGGGCUUGCAAGGGCUGGGUUAUGCAGAGCAUCCCCCCAAGAUGGGGAUGGUGCAGCCCCUCUCUGCAUCCUGAUCCCCCAGAGACGGCGGAUGCUGGAAGAACAUCAGGAUGCACCCCUGGAUUGAGGGGGACAAGCAGGGUGCUGCAGCCAUUUGGGGCUGGGCAUGGAGAUGCUGCCACUCAGGAAGGCAUGAGUGGUUGGUGCAGGGGGAGAGGUGGGAAAAGGGUCUGGCUGCAUCCUUGGGAUGUGGGAUGCACCCACAUAUUUACAGCAUCACUACAAAACAGGCAAAGCCAGUGCCAGCACAAUCCACAGCAGAACCUGCCCAGCACUGUCCUCUUCCCUCUGGAGCAGUUCCCUGUGAUGGUGAGGAUUCUCUGGGUCUCACAGAGGGUGUUGGCACAGCACCAUCACUCCCUGUGCCCCUCUAGCUGUUUCCACACAAGCUGGAAAUCCCACAGGGUCUCAGGAGGUUCCUUCUCUCUCUUUUGGCUGAAGCAAGCCAGGAAGUUAAGAAGCAAGAAAGGAGCAGGACAGAGAGAUGCCCCAAUCCACAUGUCCAUACAGGCUGUAGGAAAACAGUUUAAAAGCCAGUGUGGGAAGGCAGAUUUUGCCUUCCUUCUCCCACUUUCUCACAGGAUGUACACACUCCUCUCAUUUCACCACCUGGCACUGCACAACUUUCUAUAUUAAAGACCCAAACUGGCCUUAAUUUACAGUUCUGUGUGGGCUGAGCAGCACCACAGACCUCUGGGGAUGUGGGUGAUGUUGCAGCACUUCAAAUCCGAAGAAGUUCACCUGUUUGGCUUUCCCUGACCACUCCAACAGGACAGACAGGAUGGAUGGACAGAAAACCAUCUCAGGUCAAAUCCAAGCUCCACGCUGGCUCGACCCACAGCAGUUCAAAAGCACAAACAGCUGUGGCCACCCCAGCUCCCCAAAAACCCUCAACCUGCUUCCAUACCAUGGUGUCUGGCACCUUGCAGCCUGGUUUACACCAUCACACUCUCCUACACCCACUGCCUGCGGGGAAAAGCCCAGCAGCAGGGUGGCCUCUUUCGACAGGGCUUGUUUUGUUGCAUGAAAUGAAUCGCUGUGGUGUAGGCGUGGGAGAAACGGGGUGCAGGGAACGCUCCCGGGGGAGCGGCUGCCCAGGGGUCCCUGGGGACAGAAGGCAGCAGCCAGCAGCUCAGCUCCCAGCCAGCCUGGCUCUCCAGGCUCUCUGCAGCAGCCCCCCAGGGAUUGCUGGAUUUGGCCCUUUUUUCUUUGCCAAGCUGCGGCAGCACCGCCGGCACCACAAACCCCACCAGAGAUGAGCGCUUGCACUUUCACUUUGUGUCACCCACUGGGAUUUGUCCCACCACCUUCACAGUGUCCAUCAGUCCCAUAGGUGUGUGGGUGGGGAGGAUUUGCUCUGGUGGAGGAUGGAAGAUCCCUCAGAAGCCACUGGCACUCACACUCCAACCUCUCCAACAUAACACAGUGUGCUGGCAGACCCACAGCCCUGUGGGCUCUGGUGAAACCAAACCAGAUCUUACCAGAGGCAAUAAGUAUAUAAAAGUAAAAGAAAAAAUAGAAGAAACUAAGGCGAGGGAAGAUUGCACAGGCAUUAAUCUCUCCUGCCCCAAAAGCUAAAAGCUAAAAAGAAAUCCAAAGCAUUGUUCUAGUCCCAAACAAGCCAAAGUGAAACCUGCAACUAAUUCCGUGGGCCUUUAAAUUUCAAACCUGUUUCCUGCCAGCAAAUCCAAGUGCAGGAGCUGGCAGCACCAGGUCCCUGCACAGGCCACCUCUUCCUCUGGCUGCAGCCCCAGAAAGUCCCCAGGCCACCAGCCCACAACUUCAGCACAUCUUGAAUCAAUUUACAACAAUAUCAAAAUCGCAGCUCAACAACUCAUCCUGGUUUCCUUGACAGUAAAUCCCAGCCUGGGCUGCAAUGGCCAUGUCACUGCCAUGAGCCAGCGGGUCCAGGCUCUCUGUGAGUGACCCUGAUGGCAUUUGGCACAGGCAGGACUGUGCAUGCUGGCAGGACGUGGCAAGGCCAUGGGGAUGCUGACCGCUGGUGCAUCGGCCUCGUGCUCCGAGCUCCUGCCAAGUCACGGAGCCAACAAAGUCUGCAGGGAGCAGAGAGUCAGAGGAGCUGCAUGGCAGGCUCCAGGUGGCACCUCUGCUUGGCACUCACAGCGGGCAUGGGGGCAGA